rnacentral:rRNA from 1 species
UACGGAGGGUGCAAGCGUUAUCCGGAUUCACUGGGUUUAAAGGGUGCGUAGGCGGGCAGGUAAGUCCGUGGUGAAAUCUCUGAGCUUAACUCAGAAACUGCCAUGGAUACUAUUUGUCUUGAAUAUUGUGGAGGUAAGCGGAAUAUGUCAUGUAGCAGUGAAAUGCUUAGAUAUGACAUAGAACACCAAUUGCGAAGGCAGCUUACUACACAGUAAUUGACGCUGAGGCACGAAAGCGUGGGGAUCAAACAGG